GACGAACGCUGGCGGCGUGCUUAACACAUGCAAGUCGAACGGAAAGGCCCUGCUUUUGUGGGGUGCUCGAGUGGCGAACGGGUGAGUAACACGUGAGUAACCUGCCCUUGACUUUGGGAUAACUUCAGGAAACUGGGGCUAAUACCGGAUAGGAGCUCCUGCUGCAUGGUGGGGGUUGGAAUGUUUCGGCGGUUGGGGAUGGACUCGCGGCUUAUCAGCUUGUUGGUGGGGUAGUGGCUUACCAAGGCUUUGACGGGUAGCCGGCCUGAGAGGGUGACCGGCCACAGUGGGACUGAGAUACGGCCCAGACUCCUACGGGAGGCAGCAGUGGGGAAUAUUGCACAAGGGGCGGAGGCCUGAUGCAGCAACGCCGCGUGCGGGAUGACGGCCUUCGGGUUGUAAACCGCUUUCGCCUGUGACGAAGCGUGAGUGACGGUAAUGGGUAAAGAAGCACCGGCUAACUACGUG
rnacentral:rRNA from 1 species